GUCCACGCCGUAAACGAUGAUAACUAGCUGUCCGGGCACUUGGUGCUUGGGUGGCGCAGCUAACGCAUUAAGUUAUCCGCCUGGGGAGUACGGUCGCAAGAUUAAAACUCAAAGGAAUUGACGGGGGCCUGCACAAGCGGUGGAGCAUGUGGUUUAAUUCGAAGCAACGCGCAGAACCUUACCAGCGUUUGACAUCCCGCGCUAUCCAGAGAGAUAUGGGGUUCCCUUCGGGGACGCGGUGACAGGUGCUGCAUGGCUGUCGU
rnacentral:rRNA from 1 species